rnacentral:rRNA from 1 species
AUGAAACUCUGGGAGAAUUCAGACAUCACGAAGAUUUUGGUUUGUCAAGGAUCUUUGAAGGAGAACAAACACAAAUUACAAAAGUGCUAUUGGAACACAUGGGUACAUGCGAACUGGAAGAAAAGGCUACAAACAACAUCAAUUUACACAUUGCAGCAACAUUCUGAACAAGUAAAGAGAUGCAUCGAAAUAGCUUUAAGCUGUGUGGACGCCGAUCGACACAAAAGGCCAAGUAUAGGGGCAAUCAUUAAUAUGCUGAAUGAGACGGAAGGGAACAAACCAGGGAGCGUACAGAUGGUGAUCAAGAACAACAAAAUGGCCCCAUUGUUGGAGCAUAAGAAAAAGGUGAUGUUGCAGCUCGCCUGCAGUGACUACACCGGUGACUGGCCGGGUCUCGAUCUGGUGGCCGUCCUAGACAUCAGCUUCGGAAUGUUCAGCCCGAAGAUGGAGAAGGUCCAGACCGCCUUGCGGUUUAUCAUGCGGAAGCUCAGCCCCAUCGACCGCAUCUCCAUCAUCACAUUCUCAGGUUUUGUCAGAGAGUUAUGUUCACUUAGGCAGAUGACUGCAGCCUCGCAGCUGGACCUAGACGAGCUCAUUGAAAGUCUUGGCGACACCCAUGUCCAUGUAUACAGUGAAUCCAACAUUGAGAAUGCCCUCUUAGUCGGGGUCAAGGUCCUCGCCGAGCGCAAAGUCAGCAGCGGCCGCGUCGUAGCCAUCAUGCUCAUGUCCGCAUCCCCGUCGUCCUGGGUGGGCGAAUGCAGCUGGACUAACGUGCCUGUCUACACGUUUGGUUACGGCACAAACGUGAGCCCACGGGUGCUCAAUUCGAUCGCAAUUGCAAGCAUUGGGGGUAUGUUCUCCCACGUCCAGGACACUGACAGUGGCGACCUGACCAUUGCCUUCUCCCAGUGCCUCGCUGGCCUCCUUACCAUCUCAGUUCAGGACCUCGAGCUGAUGGUGGCAGCCGUCGGAGGCGGGUCAGUGAUAGUGAACGUGACCGCCGGGAGCUACAGGCGGAAGCAUGAUGCGUCUGGCCUGGUGACCAUAAGCUUUGGUGACCUCUACAGAAGGGAAGUGCGCAACGUCAUUGUUGAGCUUCACCUCCCAGCAACAGUGAGCGAGCGUGAUGCUGAUAUCCUCAAGGUCUCAUACUCAUACACCAGCAGCUCUUCAGCUGGAAGCCUGCAGUUUGUUGCCCCUCCUGAGACGCUGACCGUGUGGCGCGCCAACAUGGAUGAGUUGCCGUUGCCGAUGGAGCUACAUAUGGAGGAAGUCCGCCUGUUGAUGGCGAGAACCAUGAUGUGGCCCGUUGUGGAGGACGAGUUAAAGUCUCAGAACAUGUUAAAGGCGAUCCAGAGCAUGCUGGAGGACGUGGAGUUGGGCGAUCCACUGCUCAGAAUCGAGAUGCUUGAGCUCAUGGAGCUCUGUAAGACCGAAGAAACCUGCAUGGAGCACUGCCGCGCCUAUGCCUAUGCGUACUCGUCAGAGUCUUCUCACUACCGGCAGCGUUUCACGAUGAGGGGUCGCAACAUGGAGAUGCUGCGUCUCUUUGCAACACCACGCAUGGACAUGUACCUGGAGCAGGCUAAGAAGUUCCACGACGACCCGACGACACCGCUGCCAUCGGCGGACGACGACCUCGAGGAGGAGAUCGGUGCUCAUCCCAUCCAUGUUGCCAGCAGGGAAGAGGAGAUAAAGAGACUGAGCUUGGACGUGGAGGACCCGACGACAAUGGAUGCGGAGGACCCGACGAUACCACUGUCGUCUCAUUCGAGGGAGGCUUCUUCUAGGAGAAACGCCAAUUUUUUUAAUAUGUUCACAAGGCGACCAUUUUUUAGCAAAUCUGACGAGCUGGAUCGACACGUGCGUAGCUCACAUGCAUGGAUGAGUCGGAAAGGGGACCGCCUGUCAGCAAUCUUUUUGUUUACCUUUCUCCUUCUUCCUCUGUCCUGUUCAAUGAAUCGCCUCGCCCAGGGGAUACCACGAAAGCAUCCACACCGGCGUGCAGAUCCAGCGGACCAUGUCCACCUCAGCAUGGUGUCUGCGUGA